rnacentral:misc_RNA from 1 species
AACGCAUAUUGUGCCCUUUAGUAUUCUGAAGGGCAUGCCUGUCCGAGCGUCAUUAUCAACCAUCAAGCCUGGCUUAUUGUUGGACCUUGCGGAUGCCGAUGAUCGGCAAUGUCAGGUCUUUAAGGUAGUGGCGGUGUCGUGAUGGACCCCCAGAUACAAUGAGCUCUGUAUGGCAUGUAUCUAGGUGGUCCACCGGCCUAGCCUCGAAAUCUUAUAUUGAGGGUUGACCUCGGAUCAGGUAGGAAUACCCGCUGAACUUAA